CAACAAUUGAAUAGGAAUGAGGAGAAUGGAAUCCAGUGUGAAUCUGGAACGGUCCCGCCACUGUGAAGUCAAUCGACGAAGUCAGGUCUUUUGUUCUCAUUCAAUGCUCCCUUAAUAUUUCGAGGCAAAAUAUUAAGAUCCCU
rnacentral:sRNA from 2 species